UCGAGAAUCUUUCGCAAUGGGGGAAACCCUGACGAAGCGACGCCGCGUGAGCGAUGAAGGUCUUCGGGUCGUAAAGCUCUGUCAAAGGGAAAGAAGUGCAUGGUGGCUAAUACCUGCCAUGUUUGACGGUACCCUUAAAGGAAGCACCGGCUAACUCCGUGCCAGCAGCCGCGGUAAUACGGAGGGUGCAAGCGUUGUUCGGAAUCACUGGGCGUAAAGGGCGCGUAGGCGGUUUGAUAAGUCAGAUGUGAAAGCCCACGGCUUAACUGUGGAAGUGCAUUUGAAACUGUCAGACUUGAGUAUCAGAGGGGAAAGUGGAAUUCCCGGUGUAGAGGUGAAAUUCGUAGAUAUCGGGAGGAAUACCGGUGGCGAAGGCGACUUUCUGGCUGAAUACUGACGCUGAGGCGCGAAAGCGUGGGGAGCAAACA
rnacentral:rRNA from 1 species